ACGGGAACACAGCCUCCCGGAUCUUGACGAACAGAUGGUGUCCCAUCCAAGUGCUGA
rfam:Hydrogenophaga sp. Root209 contig_4, whole genome shotgun sequence.